UACGUAGGGGGCUAGCGUUGUCCGGAAUCAUUGGGCGUAAAGCGCGUGUAGGCGGUCCGGUAAGUCCGCUGUGAAAGUCGGGGGCUCAACCCUCGAAUGCCGGUGGAUACUGUCAGACUAGAGUACGGAAGAGGCGAGUGGAAUUCCUGGUGUAGCGGUGAAAUGCGCAGAUAUCAGGAGGAACACCGGUGGCGAAGGCGGUUCUCUGGGCAUUACCUGACGCUGAGGAGCGAAAGUGUGGGGAGCAAACAGG
rnacentral:rRNA from 1 species